rnacentral:rRNA from 1 species
GAGUUUGAUCCUGGCUCAGAUUGAACGCUGGCGGCAUGCCUUACACAUGCAAGUCGAGCGGCAGCGCGGGGGCAACCCUGGCGGCGAGCGGCGAACGGGUGAGUAAUACAUCGGAACGUGUCCAGUAGUGGGGGAUAACCAGUCGAAAGAUUGGCUAAUACCGCAUACGAUCUACGGAUGAAAGCGGGGGACCGCAAGGCCUCGCGCUAUUGGAGCGGCCGAUGUCGGAUUAGCUAGUUGGCGGGGUAAAAGCCCACUAAGGCGACGAUCCGUAGCUGGUCUGAGAGGACGAUCAGCCACACUGGAACUGAGACACGGUCCAGACUCCUACGGGAGGCAGCAGUGGGGAAUUUUGGACAAUGGGCGCAAGCCUGAUCCAGCCAUGCCGCGUGAGUGAAGAAGGCCUUCGGGUUGUAAAGCUCUUUCGGCGGGGACGAAAUGGUUCGCGCCAACACCACGAACUGAUGACGGUACUCGCAGAAGAAGCACCGGCUAACUACGUGCCAGCAGCCGCGGUAAUACGUAGGGUGCAGGCGUUAAUCGGAAUUACUGGGCGUAAAGCGUGCGCAGGCGGCUCCUUAAGUCA